rnacentral:rRNA from 1 species
AGAGUUUGAUCAUGGCUCAGAUUGAACGCUGGCGGCAGGCCUAACACAUGCAAGUCGAGCGGAUGAAGGGAGCUUGCUCCUGGAUUCAGCGGCGGACGGGUGAGUAAUGCCUAGGAAUCUGCCUGGUAGUGGGGGAUAACGUCCGGAAACGGGCGCUAAUACCGCAUACGUCCUGAGGGAGAAAGUGGGGGAUCUUCGGACCUCACGCUAUCAGAUGAGCCUAGGUCGGAUUAGCUAGUUGGUGGGGUAAAGGCCUACCAAGGCGACGAUCCGUAACUGGUCUGAGAGGAUGAUCAGUCACACUGGAACUGAGACACGGUCCAGACUCCUACGGGAGGCAGCAGUGGGGAAUAUUGGACAAUGGGCGAAAGCCUGAUCCAGCCAUGCCGCGUGUGUGAAGAAGGUCUUCGGAUUGUAAAGCACUUUAAGUUGGGAGGAAGGGCAGUAAGUUAAUACCUUGCUGUUUUGACGUUACCAACAGAAUAAGCACCGGCUAACUUCGUGCCAGCAGCCGCGGUAAUACGAAGGGUGCAAGCGUUAAUCGGAAUUACUGGGCGUAAAGCGCGCGUAGGUGGUUCAGCAAGUUGGAUGUGAAAUCCCCGGGCUCAACCUGGGAACUGCAUCCAAAACUACUGAGCUAGAGUACGGUAGAGGGUGGUGGAAUUUCCUGUGUAGCGGUGAAAUGCGUAGAUAUAGGAAGGAACACCAGUGGCGAAGGCGACCACCUGGACUGAUACUGACACUGAGGUGCGAAAGCGUGGGGAGCAGACAGGAUUAGAUACCCUGGUAGUCCACGCCGUAAACGAUGUCGACUAGCCGUUGGGAUCCUUGAGAUCUUAGUGGCGCAGCUAACGCGAUAAGUCGACCGCCUGGGGAGUACGGCCGCAAGGUUAAAACUCAAAUGAAUUGACGGGGGCCCGCACAAGCGGUGGAGCAUGUGGUUUAAUUCGAAGCAACGCGAAGAACCUUACCUGGCCUUGACAUGCUGAGAACUUUCCAGAGAUGGAUUGGUGCCUUCGGGAACUCAGACACAGGUGCUGCAUGGCUGUCGUCAGCUCGUGUCGUGAGAUGUUGGGUUAAGUCCCGUAACGAGCGCAACCCUUGUCCUUAGUUACCAGCACCUCGGGUGGGCACUCUAAGGAGACUGCCGGUGACAAACCGGAGGAAGGUGGGGAUGACGUCAAGUCAUCAUGGCCCUUACGGCCAGGGCUACACACGUGCUACAAUGGUCGGUACAAAGGGUUGCCAAGCCGCGAGGUGGAGCUAAUCCCAUAAAACCGAUCGUAGUCCGGAUCGCAGUCUGCAACUCGACUGCGUGAAGUCGGAAUCGCUAGUAAUCGUGAAUCAGAAUGUCACGGUGAAUACGUUCCCGGGCCUUGUACACACCGCCCGUCACACCAUGGGAGUGGGUUGCUCCAGAAGUAGCUAGUCUAACCGCAAGGGGGACGGUUACCACGGAGUGAUUCAUGACUGGGGUGAAGUCGUAACAAGGUAGCCGUAGGGGAACCUGCGGCUG